rnacentral:tRNA from 1 species
CGGGGUUUAGCUCAGCUUGGUAGAGCAUCGGCUUUGGGAGCCGAGGGUCAUUGGUUCAAAUCCAAUAACCCCGACCA